rnacentral:rRNA from 1 species
UACGUAGGGUGCGAGCGUUAAUCGGAAUUACUGGGCGUAAAGCGUGCGCAGGCGGUUUUGUAAGCCAGAUGUGAAAUCCCCGGGCUUAACCUGGGAAUGGCAUUUGGGACUGCAAGGCUGGAGUUUGGCAGAGGAGACUGGAAUUCCUGGUGUAGCAGUGAAAUGCGUAGAUAUCAGGAGGAACACCGAUGGCGAAGGCAGGUCUCUGGGCUGAAACUGACGCUCAUGCACGAAAGCGUGGGGAACAAACAGG